rnacentral:rRNA from 1 species
GACGAACGCUGGCGGCGUGCUUAACACAUGCAAGUCGAACGGAAAGGCCCUGCUUUUGUGGGGUGCUCGAGUGGCGAACGGGUGAGUAACACGUGAGUAACCUGCCCUUGACUUUGGGAUAACUUCAGGAAACUGGGGCUAAUACCGGAUAGGAGCUCCUGCUGCAUGGUGGGGGUUGGAAAGUCUCGGCGGUUGGGGAUGGACUCGCGGCUUAUCAGCUUGUUGGUGGGGUAGUGGCUUACCAAGGCUUUGACGGGUAGCCGGCCUGAGAGGGUGACCGGCCACAUUGGGACUGAGAUACGGCCCAGACUCCUACGGGAGGCAGCAGUGGGGAAUAUUGCACAAUGGGCGGAAGCCUGAUGCAGCAACGCCGCGUGCGGGAUGACGGCCUUCGGGUUGUAAACCGCUUUCGCCUGUGACGAAGCGUGAGUGACGGUAAUGGGUAAAGAAGCACCGGCGAACUACGU